UCCCAGAACAAUCUCAUUAACAUUCCUUGGAAAUGGUUCCUCUCAUCAGGAAGGCUCUUCUGAGGCCUGUACGUGAAUGACCAUUUGUCCCCAUUAAGACUCAUUUGGGGGCAAGUAACAUAAAUGGAAAAAAAAAAGUAGACUAAAGUAACUAAGCCCAAGGGUAGUAUGAUUUAAGCUAAAGGUGAUUUCAGGCUCCAAGUAAAGUAAUCAGGGUUCAGCUUAUCUCCAUUUGUUAUCUCUUCUUCUAGUGGGUUGGACCCAUUUUCAAAGAAUCCCUGCGCCAGCCAGGUGGGCAUGACGGCUCUCGGGACUGGCGGAUACCAAGCUGGGAAUCAACAAGUGNNNNNNNNNNUUUUGUAUUUUUAGUAGAGA
rnacentral:lncRNA from 1 species